rnacentral:rRNA from 1 species
UGGGGAAUUUUCCGCAAUGGGCGAAAGCCUGACGGAGCAAUGCCGCGUGGAGGUGGAAGGCCUACGGGUCGUCAACUUCUUUUCUCGGAGAGGUAACAAUGACGGUAUCUGAGGAAUAAGCAUCGGCUAACUCUGUGCCAG